GGAAAGGCGCGCGAUACAGGGUGACAGCCCCGUACACAAAAAUGCACAUGCUGUGAGCUCGAUGAGUAGGGCGGGACACGUGGUAUCCUGUCUGAAUAUGGGGGGACCAUCCUCCAAGGCUAAAUACUCCUGACUGACCGAUAGUGAACCAGUACCGUGAGGGAAAGGCGAAAAGAACCCCGGCGAGGGGAGUGAAAAAGAACCUGAAACCGUGUACGUACAAGCAGUGGGAGCACGCUUAGGCGUGUGACUGCGUACCUUUUGUAUAAUGGGUCAGCGACUUAUAUUCUGUAGCAAGGUUAACCGAAUAGGGGAGCCGAAGGGAAACCGAGUCUUAACUGGGCGUUAAGUUGCAGGGUAUAGACCCGAAACCCGGUGAUCUAGCCAUGGGCAGGUUGAAGGUUGGGUAACACUAACUGGAGGACCGAACCGACUAAUGUUGAAAAAUUAGCGGAUGACUUGUGGCUGGGGGUGAAAGGCCAAUCAAACCGGGAGAUAGCUGGUUCUCCCCGAAAGCUAUUUAGGUAGCGCCUCGUGAAUUCAUCUCCGGGGGUAGAGCACUGUUUCGGCAAGGGGGUCAUCCCGACUUACCAACCCGAUGCAAACUGC
rnacentral:rRNA from 1 species